CAUCGUUCCAUAGCUUAAUUGGCUAGAGCGCCGACACGGUCAGUCGGAGACGCGGGUUCGAAUCCCGCUGGAGCGGUCAAUUUUUGAUAUGAUGUUCAAAAAUGUUUAGAAUUCCUAAUGUGAGGGAAACACAAAAAUAAAAUCGUACAUAUUAAAAAUAGCAUGGUGUCGUCUCCUGUCAAAGAUUUUCAUUGUAAUAUGAAACUUUGAAUAGUUACGGGUCUCUGUAAAGAACUCACUAUAGACGGUGCCACGGUUCGCUUAAACUGAAAAUAAAAAUCAUCAUAUCAAAAGUUUCGCUCUAGCGGGUACAUCGUUCCAUAGCUUAAUUGGCUAGAGCGCCGACACGGUCAGUCGGAGACGCGGGUUCGAAUCCCGCUGGAGCGGUCAAUUUUUGAUAUGAUAUUCAAAAAUGUUUAGAAUUCCUAAUGUGAGGGUAACACAA
rnacentral:tRNA from 1 species